rnacentral:rRNA from 1 species
UACGUAGGGUGCAAGCGUUGUCCGGAAUUAUUGGGCGUAAAGAGCUCGUAGGCGGUCUGUCGCGUCUGCUGUGAAAACCUGGGGCUUAACCCCGGGCCUGCAGUGGGUACGGGCAGACUAGAGUGCGGUAGGGGGAGACUGGAAUUCCUGGUGUAGCGGUGAAAUGCGCAGAUAUCAGGAGGAACACCGGUGGCGAAGGCGGGUCUCUGGGCCGUAACUGACGCUGAGGAGCGAAAGCAUGGGGAGCGAACAGG